rnacentral:tRNA from 1 species
GGCCUCGUGGUGUAGUGGAUUAGCACAUUGGACUUCGGAUCCAAAGGUCGCGGGUUCGAUUCCCGUCGCGGUCA